rnacentral:lncRNA from 1 species
UAUGUAUAGCCCAUUCACAUAGCCGCGGCCACAUACGGAUACUCUUAUAUAGGUGGUUUCCUCCAGGGAUGUGUGUAGAGUCACAUCUCGCGAAAAUUAUCGCCUUGGAUCCCAUUAAGAGCUCUCAGCUCAACCUAAUCCACUACACAGAGCACUACUCACCAUAGGGAUGGAAUUGGAGCUAAAGCUCCUUUAUAAAAUUUGUAGAAAGUGCUCUUGGCCAACCUGACAGCUUGUUUUUACCACAUUGAACCUUCUUCAAGGGAUCUCCUAUCACAAAGGUUGGGUUCCCACUGCAGGAAGGCCCUUUACGGGCAAAGUCCCAUCCCCCUCGAUGACUCUAGGACCUUAGUCCUAUUCAGGCCUUUCGUCAAGCAAUCUGCAAGAUUCUGAUCAGAUCUGAAAAAACUUAAAAAAUAAUAUUAUAAAAGGUUAGCCAUCUAAUAAAUUUAUGUCUCAAAAUAAUUUACCUGCCAAUCUUAGAAUUUGCAAAAUUCGUUUCCAAGAUGAACACAAGGAUAAAAUUACGAGAGUAAUUAUAAUAUCAAAAUUUAUCAAACUGAUAAAAGAGUACCCCCCACAAGUUUUGAAAUAUAUCAGAAUUUAAAAAAUAUGGCCUUAAUCAUGUCUAAUAGAAUUUGGGUCAACAACAAAUAGAUGGCACAAGCAAAAUAAAAUGAUAUACUAUAACCAAUGUAUAAAAAUACUUAGAUGUAACAAAUGUAGUGACAACUAAGAGAUAGUAUUAUAGGUUAGGUGAUGCUGGUACGAACGCAUCCGUACACAUAAACUAAAUUUAGUGUAGCAAACUCUCCUUAAUUUACUGUGGCAAAUUCUCUUCCUUUUUUUUUUUUACCAAAGAAUUUUUACUGUAGCAAAACUUUUAAGCCGUACAAUAUAAAAAAUAAUUUUACAGUAGCUCUUUUUUUUUUUUUUUUUUUUUUUUUUUUUUUUUUUUGAAUAAUCUGUACAAUGUCAUUGUGGAAAACAAAGUAAAAUGGAUUUUACCUGAUCAAGAAAUUCGCACACUAAAAUUUUUUUUUUUUUUUUUUAUAAACAAACUUAAAACACCCUAUAACAGAUAUGAGAAUAUAAUAAUUGAUAAUUAAGCUAUAUGCAAUUAGCAAGUAAAUUAUAUGCAAUUAGAAUUUGAAAAUACUAAUUCUAAUUUAUUUAAAUUAGAACGACGAACAUACAAUCAAAUUUGUCCAACAAAAAUAACAUGCGAUAUCUUUCUAUUUUAAGCAAAAUAAUAAUUAAACUACAUACAUAAGUGUGCUAGUCUCGAACAGCAGUGUAGCGCAAGGGCGACAUGACAAAAUCCCAGUAACAAGCUAUCAUGGGUAGACACUCCCCCACAAAAAUUAAUAUUUAAUAUCCAGAUUGGCACGUAGCCCACAUAUAUCAGAUAUUAAACUAAUAAGAACAAAUAUUACAACGAAACAGUAUAUUUAUAUAAGGUUACACUGAUUUUUUUUUUUUUUUUAAUACUCAUCAAAUAAAAUGUAAUUUAAACAAGAAAUUACAUAAUAUGCAAUUAUAGGUUAAAAUGAUAAUUCCGAAAAAUUUAUGUUUGAAUGCCAAUCAUACAAACAAAUUAACUAACAAAUUAUAUACAUAUAAAAUUAAUAUUAAUUUAAUACAGAUUAGCACCCGUUGGAUUUCAAUCACAAUCGAAUCGGAAUUACGCCUUAGAUUGUUAGAACAAGUACCGCAACGAAAAUCUGAUUGUGAUUUAAAUCUAACUAAAUUUUAUUAUAAAUACAACUUACAGAUAAUUGCUAUAUCCAAAUAAAUACUUAAUUGAUCCGGAAGCGUGCGAGGUACUGCCCUAAGGCGUAUUCCCGUCCUUACGUGCGGGAUUAACCGGGAACAACACCCCAAGGUACGACCGGAAUUCCUCCUCCUGCGAGCACGAUCGUGAAGAAGGUUGACGGAGACUCUUUCAACACCCGAUGACAAAGAGAUUGAUCAAAAUAGAAUCUAAAAUAAAAUUUAAAUCAUUCUUUGCAAUGUUCAUGUAUCUCAAAAGAACAGCAUGCAAAGCUAAAAUAUAUAUAUAGAGGGGUUAUAUGGUGUAACAUUGGAAUCAACCCCAACGUACAAACCUUAUUAUGCACCCUUAAUUCAUGCUUUAAUGUGAAAUAAAGGAGGAAUAAAUUAAAUUUAAUACAUCCAAUUAAUUAAUAUAAUAAAAGACAAUAAAUGUAAAUAAUUAUAAAAUUAAAUGAUAUUUAGAGAUUUUGGAUUUUUUCACCAACAAUCCCCCACAAAAUUCAAAAUCACAAAAGAAGAAUUAAACAAACAAAUAAAUAAAUCAUCGGGUGUUUAUACUAUGCAAUAGGCGAGGUGUCUUUAAGAGACUUAACCCCACUUAGUGUAAAUAGUUUCCAUCAGAAGGAAUCGGAGUGAACCAGGUCUUGAACUACGUUCCUUUGGCCCUGACUUCUACUACCACACACACAGUACAGAAUUCUCCGUCGCGGGUCUGUGCGUUAAUGGCCAUGCACAGUACCUUGAUUUUUCAUAAGAGUUUCUAUGUAUAGCCCAUUCACAUAGCCGCGGCCACAUACGGAUACUCUUAUAUAGGUGGUUUCCUCCAGGGAUGUGUGUAGAGUCACAUCUCGCGAAAAUUAUCGCCUUGGAUCCCAUUAAGAGCUCUCAGCUCAACCUAAUCCACUACACAGAGCACUACUCACCAUAGGGAUGGGAUUGGAGCUAAAGCUCCUAUAUAAAAUUUGUAGAAAGUGCUCUUUGGCCAACCUGACAGCUUGUUUUUACCACAUUGAACCUUCUUCAAGGGAUCUCCUAUCACAAAGGUUGGGUUCCCACUGCAGGAAGGCCCUUUAUGGGCAAAU